GCACUUUCAGUCGUGAAGGAAGGCUAGGUGUAGUUACUAGGCUUGCAUGAUCUGACGUCAGCGACAGAGCAAGCAUCUGCUAACUCCCGUGCCAGCAGCCGCUGUAAUACGGAGGGUGCGAGCGUUAAUCGGAACUACUGGGCGUAAAGCGCAUGCAGGUGGUUGUUAAGUCAGAUGUGAAAGCCCGGGGCUCAACGUCGGAAUAGCAUUUGAAACUGGCAGACUAGAGUACUGUAGAGGGGGGUAGAAUCUCAGGUGUAGCGGUGAAAUGCGUAGAGAUCUGAAGGAAUACCGGUGGCGAAGGCGGCCCCCCUGGACAGAUACUGACACUCAGAUGCGAAAGCGUGGGGAGCAAACAGGAUUAGAUACCCUGGUAGUCCACGCCGUAAACGAUGUCUACUUGGAGGUUGUCGCCUUGAGCCGUGGCUUUCGGAGCUAACGCGUUAAGUAGACCGCCUGGGGAGUACGGUCGCAAGAUUAAAACUCAAAUGAAUUGACGGGGGCCCGCACAAGCGGUGGAGCAUGUGGUUUAAUUCGAUGCAACGCGAAGAACCUUACCUACUCUUGACAUCCAGAGAACUUUCCAGAGAUGGAUUGGUGCCUUCGGGAACUCUGAGACAGGUGCUGCAUGGCUGUCGUCAGCUCGUGUUGUGAAAUGUUGGGUUAAGUCCCGCAACGAGCGCAACCCUUAUCCUUGUUUGCCAGCGAGUAAUGUCGGGAACUCCAGGGAGACUGCCGGUGAUAAACCGGAGGAAGGUGGGGACGACGUCAAGUCAUCAUGGCCCUUACGAGUAGGGCUACACACGUGCUACAAUGGCGCAUACAGAGGGCGGCCAACUUGCGAAAGUGAGCGAAUCCCAAAAAGUGCGUCGUAGUCCGGAUUGGAGUCUGCAACUCGACUCCAUGAAGUCGGAAUCGCUAGUAAUCGUGGAUCAGAAUGCCACGGUGAAUACGUUCCCGGGCCUUGUACACACCGCCCGUCACACCAUGGGAGUGGGGUGCAAUACAGAGAGUACGAGUGAGUAUGUCGUAACAAGGUACCCAUGCUAUAGUGCC
rnacentral:rRNA from 1 species